AAAGGAAGAAGCACUACUAUGGACUCAGGCUGCAGUUACAGUCAACAACCCUCCCUCCACCAAGAUCAGCACAGAGAGUCUCUCCCCAACAUCCUCAUAUCACAGCACGCUCCAGGACUGGGGAAUCCCUGAGGAUGGCUCAGGGCAGCCCAGCCUCCUUUCUGAAAACAGGAUUCAGAGCUCAUAGAAGCCUCCCUGCCCUGGGAGUCUCAAGAGAGCACUUAAGCACAGACACCUGGUUUAGCUUGGUAGGCACCCCUAGCCUGCGGAGCUUACCCCCGCCGCACACAUCUGGAGAGUCAACCAUUACAAAGAGAAAUAGCAGGACUGGUCCUGCCCCUCCGGGAUGGUGCCGCCAGUCUAGAGUAAAAUGCCAAGCACGGGCUCAAGACUCCUGCUGAGGCCAAUGGGAGAAGCUGAGAUAUUUUGAAAGCCACCCCUGAGGCGAGAAAGUUGUGCAGAAGGCACUAAUUGUCAACGCUCCCCAAGGACAGCCUGCCUGUUCCAAGGCAGGAGGAAAGGGCCGAGCUGUCAGCGCCCGAUUCCUGGGGGAGUCUGCCUCGCCCGCGCUCAGCCAGCCAGGCCAGCUUCCUGCCCGGCAUGGAGGAGAUAAAACACAGGAACACAGACGAUCUUACAUAACCGAAGCGGGAC
rnacentral:lncRNA from 10 species